AUUGAACGCUGGCGGCAGGCCUAACACAUGCAAGUCGAGCGGAUGAAGGGAGCUUGCUCCUGGAUUCAGCGGCGGACGGGUGAGUAAUGCCUAGGAAUCUGCCUGGUAGUGGGGGAUAACGUCCGGAAACGGGCGCUAAUACCGCAUACGUCCUGAGGGAGAAAGUGGGGGAUCUUCGGACCUCACGCUAUCAGAUGAGCCUAGGUCGGAUUAGCUAGUUGGUGGGGUAAAGGCCCACCAAGGCGACGAUCCGUAACUGGUCUGAGAGGAUGAUCAGUCACACUGGAACUGAGACACGGUCCAGACUCCUACGGGAGGCAGCAGUGGGGAAUAUUGGACAAUGGGCGAAAGCCUGAUCCAGCCAUGCCGCGUGUGUGAAGAAGGUCUUCGGAUUGUAAAGCACUUUAAGUUGGGAGGAAGGGCAGUAAGUUAAUACCUUGCUGUAUUGACGUUACCAACAGAAUAAGCACCGGCUAACUUCGUG
rnacentral:rRNA from 1 species